rnacentral:rRNA from 1 species
UACGUAGGGCGCAAGCGUUGUCCGGAAUUAUUGGGCGUAAAGAGCUCGUAGGCGGCCUGUUACGUCUGCUGUGAAAUCCCGGGGCUUAACCCCGGGCGUGCAGUGGAUACGGGCAGGCUGGAGGCAGGCAGGGGAGAACGGAAUUCCCGGUGUAGCGGUGAAAUGCGCAGAUAUCGGGAGGAACACCGGUGGCGAAGGCGGUUCUCUGGGCCUGUACUGACGCCGAGGAGCGAAAGCGUGGGGAGCGAACAGG